rnacentral:tRNA from 1 species
UAGCUCAGUCGGUAGAGCACAUGACUUUUAAUCAUGGUGUCCCGGGUUCGAUUCCCGGG